rnacentral:rRNA from 1 species
GACGAACGCUGGCGGCGUGCUUAACACAUGCAAGUCGAACGGAAAGGCCCUGCUUUUGUGGGGUGCUCGAGUGGCGAACGGGUGAGUAACACGUGAGUAACCUGCCCUUGACUUUGGGAUAACUUCAGGAAACUGGGGCUAAUACCGGAUAGGAGCUCCUGCUGCAUGGUGGGGGUUGGAAAGUUUCGGCGGUUGGGGAUGGACUCGCGGCUUAUCAGCUUGUUGGUGGGGUAGUGGCUGACCAAGGCUUUGAAGGGUAGCCGGCCUGAGAGGGUGACCGGCCACAUUGGGACUGAGAUACGGCCCAGACUCCUACGGGAGGCAGCAGUGGGGAAUAUUGCACAAUGGGCGGAAGCCUGAUGCAGCAACGCCGCGUGCGGGAUGACGGCCUUCGGGUUGUAAACCGCUUUCGCCUGUGACGAAGAGUUAGUGACGGUAAUGGGUAAAGAAGCACCGGCUAACUACGUG